rnacentral:lncRNA from 1 species
GGCUAGUGAGGCCCUGAAAGUGACAACAGAUAUUCCAAAUACUUCCUAUCUGAAUAAAUAUUUAACCAAGGCUCUGAGGAGGCGCCCUCGAAUCCUCCCUCCCUAUCCCACUCAAUAUUCCACCAAGGCUCUGAGAAGGUGUUCACCAGUCCUCCCUCCCUGUCCUACUCAAUAUGCCACCAAGGCUCUGAGAAGGCGUUCACCAAUCCUCUCUCCCUAUCCCACUCAAUAUUCCACCAAGGCUCUGAGAAGGUGUUCACCAAUCCUCCCUCCCUAUCCUACCCAAUAUUCCACCAAGGCUCUGAGAAGGCGUUCACCAAUCCUCCCUCCCUAUCCUACCCAAUAUGCCACCAAGGCUCUGAGAAGGCAUUCACCAAUCCUCCCUCCCUAUCCUACCCAAUAUUCCACCAAGGCUCUGAGAAGGCGUUCACCAAUCCUCCCUCCCUAUCCUACUCAAUAUUCCACACCAAGGCUCUGAGAAGGCGUUCACCAAUCCUCCCUCCCUAUCCCACUCAAUAUUCCACACCAAGGCUCUGAGAAGGCAUUCACCAAUCCUCCCUCCCUAUCCUACUCAAUAUUCCACACCAAGGCUCUGAGAAGGCAUUCACCAAUCCUCCCUCCCUAUCCCACUCAAUAUUCCACAUCAAGGCUCUGAGAAGGCGUUCACCAAUCCUCCCUCCCUAUCCCACUCAAUAUUCCACACCAAGGCUCUGAGAAGGUGUUCACCAGUCCUCCCUCCCUAUCCUACUCAAUAUUCCACCAAGGCUCUGAGAAGGCGUUCACCAGUCCUCCCUCCCUAUCCUACUCAAUAUUCCACCAAGGCUCUGAGAAGGCGUUCACCAGUCCUCCCUCCCUAUCCCACUCAAUAUGCCACCAAGGCUCUGAGAAGGCGUUCACCAAUCCUCCCUCCCUAUCCUACCCAAUAUUCCACCAAGGCUCUGAGAAGGCGUUCACCAAUCCUCCCUCCCUAUCCUACCCAAUAUUCCACCAAGGCUCUGAGAAGGCGUUCACCAAUCCUCCCUCCCUAUCCUACCCAAUAUGCCACCAAGGCUCUGAGAAGGCGUUCACCAGCCACCAAGGCUCUGAGAAGGCGUUCACCAGUCCUCCCUCCCUGUCCUACUCAAUAUGCCACCAAGGCUCUGAGAAGGCGUUCACCAGUCCUCCCUCCCUAUCCUACCCAAUAUUCCCCCAAGGCUCUGAGAAGGCGUUCACCAAUCCUCCCUCCCUAUCCUACCCAAUAUGCCACCAAGGCUCUGAGAAGGCGUUCACCAAUCCUCCCUCCCUAUCCUACUCAAUAUUCCACCAAGGCUCUGAGAAGGUGUUCACCAAUCCUCCCUUCCUAUCCCACUCAAUAUGCCACCAAGGCUCUGAGAAGGCAUUCACCAAUCCUCCCUCCCUAUCCUACUCAAUAUUCCACCAAGGCUCUGAGAAGGCGUUCACCAAUCCUCCCUCCCUAUCCCACUCAAUAUGCCACCAAGGC